UCAAGGAUACCCUCCCCUUCAGCACUUAACCAUAAGCUUAAAGGAGAGAGAGAGAGAGAGAGUGAUUGAGAGAAAAGGAUUUGCAGUAAUCUGGUCUAAGUAUCAUAAUAAAUGAAAGUAUGUCUUAUAAGGCGACCUGACUUAAGAGACAGUGGGUGCGUGUGUGAGAGAGAGAGUGAGAGAGAGGAAUUUUCAAUAAUCUGGUCUAAAUAUCUUAUUGUGAGAAUAUGUCCUGAUAAGACAAACUGAGAGAAAAGAAUUUGCAGUAAUGUGAGCUAAAUAUCAUAUUUAAGUAUGUUCUUGAGCAACCUGACCCAAGAGAUAGAGAGAGAGAGAGAGAGAGAGAGUGAGAGUGUGCGUGAGAGAGAGAGAGCGAUUGAUUGCCCUUAUUAAGGGCAGAGUUAGGACUCCAGGUCCUCUCUGCCACACAACUCUAAAAAGACAGAGAGAGAGAAAAAGAAUUUACAGUAAUCACAGCUGAAUAUCAUAUUUAAGUAUGUCUUCUUCUUCUUCUUCUUCUCCUUCUUCUUCUUUUUUUCUCUUUCUUCUUCUUCUUCAAUUAUUUUGAACAGUGAAGCUAAAAGAGCCUCCAUUCAGAUAGCAUAGGUGGCAUUUUCAUGAUAAAUAGAAAUUUAAAUUUAUUAGAAUAAGAAUUUAGAGAGAUAAAUUUAGGCAUACUAUCGUAAUUAUUUUAAAAUUUAUAAAUAUUUCUUUAUUUUAUUUAUCCCUAUGGCCAUAAGUCUUGAGGUGCGUACAGACUUUCGCUCUGCUCCGCAACCGAAUGUCACUCGAGCAGAGCAAUUGAUGAUCGACCGGGGACCAAGAGUGGAACGCGAGAACAGCUAGCAUCUCCCGUAACGUUCAUGAUUGGUGCGACUGCAGAGCGGGGGCGGAGUGACUGCGGAGCGAUGGAGGAACGAGGGCGGAGCUUGCGCGGAGCGGGUUGGAGACGCGUAUAUCUGUACGCAGCUUUAAGCUGCGUUUACACCAAAGUUAUUAACAAAAUGUUAAUAACUUUAUCUUUAUAGAUUCUAUUAGAUUGAACAUAACUAAUCAUACACAUGAUGAACAUAUUUAUGUGUUUGUGAAGUUCCAUUCAAUCUAAUAGAAUCUAUGAAGAUUAAGUUAUUAACAUUUCGUUAAUAAUUUUGGUGUAAAUGAAGCUUUAUACAUUACUGGCCAAUCAAAUAAAUUGUCAGCCUUUAUAAAAAAAGACUUGAAGACUCGAAGACUUUGAAACAUAAAUCUUUCUGAAUAAAAUAGUAUUUAAUAAUAAUAAAUUCAUUUAUUCUUCCAAUUUAUACAAUCGCAAUUGGUAUUUAACAUACCAAUAAAACAAUCAAAAUACAAAAUAAUUGUGAAACAUCUAUAAUCAAAAACAAGAAGAAUCAACUUCGUAUCUUUGUAAAUAAAUCUAAAUUAAGAAUCUAAUAUAAAUCACACAUGUAAAUAGUAGAAAUAGAACGGAGCAGGAUAUUGUAUGUGGGCUAUAGCUUGUACAAAAUAAGGUGGGACUUGGGAAAGUGUUAAUUUUGAAUGAUGUUUUUGUUGACAAUAUUAUGUAGAUAUAUUGAAUAAAUUUUAUUCGACCCAGAGUCACACAUCUAUAAUAUAAUAAGGGAUAGAAUUGGCUUGCAUGUACACGUAGGGGAUAGGAAAUUCACGAAUGAUAUAUCAUCAUACCUCAACUACUUGAUUAACUUGACAUUUUGCAUAUAGAUUCUUAAUUCACCGAGGAUGGUUAUAGGGCUAUUUGAAAUACUUCAAGAUCUAUGAGGUAGAUUUCAGUAGGUUCAGAUUUUAAUCAGAUCCUUGCGAAGCACCGGUUACCUGCUAGUUGUAAGAAUAAUUUAGAAUAAGAAUUUAAAUUUUUAUCAGUCAUUAAACUUAAAACAAACAUGCUAUAGACUUCCUCAUGAAGGCUAUGGUCAUUAUGCCGAUAUUAUAAUGAAAUCUAUGUUUUUAUCUUCUCAAAAGCCUACACAAAUUAAGUAUUAUAUAUUUUUAUUUGACCUAAAGGCACAAACCUCUGCUAUUGAGUCUCAUCUGUAGGCCUAAGUCUUCAUUUAAAUAAAAUGUUAAUAUAUAAAAUAGAUUCUAUUUUACCUAGAAGCACAAAUCCCAAAUAUUUGUGAAUAAUAUAUUUUAUUAUACUUACUAUAAUUUUUACUCUUAAUAGAUUCUAUUUUUCCCAGUAGCACAAAUUCCAAAUAUUUGUUAAUGAUAGAAUUACUAUCAGUACUAUAAACAGCCUACCCAGUCAAUGAACUAUAGUGAGGUCCACGUUAUAAUGGCAGUGUUUGAUUAGUAAUGGUAUUGCUAUCCUUGUCUAUCAUUCAACAAAGCGGAUAACACUAUCGCGCUAUCUCUUUCUAGCUUUGCUCUGUGCCAGAUCGUAUUUUACCAAUGGAGAAUUAAUAAUCUAUAACCAAAAUAUUUCAUCUUGAUUAUGAAAAUUCAUUAUUGAAAAAUAUAAUUUCUUGCUUAAUAAAAUAUAAUUGAUUAUUUCAAACGAGAAUGAACAGUUAAUAUUACAUUAAUAAACCUGUAUCAGCUAACAUCUAUAGAAGGCAUUGACAAGACUGGAGGAUCGGCAACGUUGUUCUUGUAUCUUCCUCCACUGCCAUUAUAACGUCGACCUUACUAUAGAUUCAUGCAUUCAUUUCCUAUGUACUUGUUAAAUUCUAUUAUAGUAAGAUAUUUUAAAAUUUGUAAUUGUAGCUGUUACAAAAUAUUAUUGUACUGUAUUCAAGUAUAUUGUUACAAUUUUGUGUCUCUGAUUAUAUCUAGUAUAUAGUAGGAGUGGCUAUAGUCGAGUGGAUUAGAUGCUGGCUUUAUAAUCCAGACACGUUAAAUUGUUGGUCCCAGCUGCCUAAAAAGUAGUCGUUAGGUCAUGUCAGAGGCCCUGAAAUUGAUCAGUUGCGAACUGAAAACUCUGACACCAGACCUGAGCCAGCCAGGUCACUCAAUAUUAGAGUAUAUUGUAGUUGUUAUAGAUUAUUCUAUAUUGUGUCAAAUAAAACAACUUCAUAUUUGAAUCUAUUUCAUACAAUUGGGUGUCUAUAAUAGUACCAUCUAUAAUAGUAUUUCUCACAUCUUUCGACAAUGACAUAAAUCGAAAAAUGUUGUGAGAAAUUAGAUGGAGUUGAAAAAAAAUACUUUGAUUCCAAAUUUUAUGUAAAUACAAGCAGCCUUUACUAAUAAACUGGUUAAUUGUAGAUGUUAUAUAAAUUAUUGUAUUUUAUCUUGAAUAAUAAUACAACUUGAUCUGAAUCAAUUGUUAGAAUUGGGUGUCUAAUAGUAUGGUUUAGGUUAGGUUAGGUCAAGUUAGGUUGGGUUAGCUUCCCGUGUUGGAUGAUUGGGUUAGGUUAGGUCGAGUUGGGUUGGGUUAGGUCUUCAUACAACUUGAUCUGAAUCUAUUGUUAGAAUUGGGUGUCUAAUAGUUACAGUUCAGGUUAGGUACAGUCAAGUUAGGUUGGGUUAGGUUUCUUCCCGUGUUGGAUGAUUGGGCUAGGUUAGGUUGAGUUAGGUUGGGUUAGGUCUUCAUAUGACUUGAUCUGAAUCUAUUGUUAGAAUUGGGUGUCUAAUAGUACGGUUUAGGUUAGGUUAGGUCGAGUUAGGUUGGGUUAGGUCAUCAUACAACUUGAUCUGAAUCUAUUGUUAGAAUGGAGUGUCUGAUAGUACAGUUUAGGUCGAGUUAGGUUUCUUCCCAUGUUGGAUGAUUGGGUUAGGUUAGGUUGGGUUGAGCUGGAUGGAAUUGUAUUUAACUGAUGAGUAAUAUAAAUAUAAUCAUUAUUCAUAUUUUAAAUUAAUCAUACUUUACAGGCCUACUAUUAUUCAAUUCUGUUUUGGCCUAUGUAUAGUAUUUUAUGGAAGUGAAUGUAUUUAAUUAGGCUAAUAAUUAAAUAUGUGUUGUUGAGAAGUUUUCUGUUAUAUUAUAAAGUCAUGAGCUUACCACAUAAGCUUUAAUAGUUAUGGAUGUAACAGAGAAUAUAAUAUAUGUACUGUUGGUGUUAUUAUGUUUAAUAAAUAAAUACAUAGAAAACCA